rnacentral:rRNA from 1 species
GUCGACGAACUCUGGUAUUGAUUGGUGCUUGCAUCAUGAUUUACAUUUGAGUGAGUGGCGAACUGGUGAGUAACACGUGGGAAACCUGCCCAGAAGCGGGGGAUAACACCUGGAAACAGAUGCUAAUACCGCAUAACAACUUGGACCGCAUGGUCCGAGUUUGAAAGAUGGCUUCGGCUAUCACUUUUGGAUGGUCCCGCGGCGUAUUAGCUAGAUGGUGGGGUAACGGCUCACCAUGGCAAUGAUACGUAGCCGACCUGAGAGGGUAAUCGGCCACAUUGGGACUGAGACACGGCCCAAACUCCUACGGGAGGCAGCAGUAGGGAAUCUUCCACAAUGGACGAAAGUCUGAUGGAGCAACGCCGCGUGAGUGAAGAAGGGUUUCGGCUCGUAAAACUCUGUUGUUAAAGAAGAACAUAUCUGAGAGUAACUGUUCAGGUAUUGACGGUAUUUAACCAGAAAGCCACGGCUAACUACGUGCCAGCAGCCGCGGUAAUACGUAGGUGGCAAGCGUUGUCCGGAUUUAUUGGGCGUAAAGCGAGCGCAGGCGGUUUUUUAAGUCUGAUGUGAAAGCCUUCGGCUCAACCGAAGAAGUGCAUCGGAAACUGGGAAACUUGA